rnacentral:rRNA from 1 species
AGUGAACGCUGGCGGUAGGCCUAACACAUGCAAGUCGAACGGCAGCACAGUAAGAGCUUGCUCUUACGGGUGGCGAGUGGCGGACGGGUGAGGAAUACAUCGGAAUCUACUUUUUCGUGGGGGAUAACGUAGGGAAACUUACGCUAAUACCGCAUACGACCUACGGGUGAAAGCAGGGGAUCUUCGGACCUUGCGCGAUUGAAUGGGCCGAUGUCGGAUUAGCUAGUUGGCGGGGUAAAGGCCCACCAAGGCGACGAUCCGUAGCUGGUCUGAGAGGAUGAUCAGCCACACUGGAACUGAGACACGGUCAGACUCCUACGGGAGACAGCAGUGGGGAAUAUUGGACAAUGGGCGCAAGCCUGAUCCAGCCAUACCGCGUGGGUGAAGAAGGCCUUCGGGUUGUAAAGCCCUUUUGUUGGGAAAGAAAAGCAGCAGGUUAAUACCCCGCUGUUCUGACGGUACCCAAAGAAUAAGCACCGGCUAACUUCGUG